AUCUCCUGCACCUAAGCUGCUUGCUAUGGAGGAGUGCUGCACAGCCACAGAGCCCCUUCAUUACUUGGCUCAGAGGAUAGAAAGGUGAAGGAGUGACAGAGUUUCUGAGGACCUCUGAUUUCACCAUAGCCCACAGAAUGAGUCUGGGGUACUGUGGAGGGCAAAGAAGCUUUUGUGUGUGAGCUGACCAUCUAUGAUGACUCCAUGUAGACAAGGAAUAAUUGUUUUGGUAAAGAGCCACAAAGAUGGCUACUGAAAGCAGUGCCAAUAGAUGUAGAAAUGCCAUCAGUUGCAGCCUUUGCUCUACGUACUGGAAGAUCCAGCACGUAGAGGUUUCUGCUGUUUUGUGAUGACUUGAUAAGAUGGAGAGUUGUCAGAUCCCCAGGAUAUGCUCUGGAUCCCUCCUUUGCUCAUCAAAUGCUGUCAGCCCCUUGGCAGGGAUGACCUAAUGGCUUGGCUUGAAGGCCUCUCUCAGCAGAAGUCCUUACAAGUAGGCUGUCCUCUUCUGCAAGGGUUGCCCCUGACUGCUUUUCGCUUGGCUUUGUAGUACAUAUUUCUUCCUUUACACUGAUAAGAAACUGAGUAAAAAUGAGUGCAGGAUGCAGCAGGCGGUGCUUCUAGUAGUAACCUGACACUUACCUACCUGAGAGUGUGUUCUCUCUCCGACUCUCCUAAAACUGAUGGAGUGCUUUGGACUGAAAAUGCAGUAAAGAAAAUGUAUGGUCAAGCAAAGCAAACACCGUUACCUGAAGCCUACGUAGUCCUUAUGCAAAGCUGUCACUGUGCAGCCGUUAGCCUUAAAUGACUGGUGACUGCUAAAACAUCUCUAAUCUUUGCAAACUGAAGACGCAGUGUGGUUUCCUGACUUCUCUGCAUAAUCCGGCAUCUCUGCAGUACAUAAAAAGCCUCUGUGAGCACUCACAAAGGGCCAGUGCCUCAGCUGAGGCCUAUUGACAUCUCUGGAGCUGUGCCAGCUUUUACCAGCCGAGAACCUUUUUUCUUCUAUUUUGUAAAGACGCUAUUGGGUAAACACUCCUGAAAUCCUAUGAACAAAGUUCAGUCGAUAAACAGUGAGGGGAGGGAUGGGGGAGCACGUGUGGAAAUGGAACAAAUGAAAUCAAGUCUGGAGACAACUGAGUGAUGCUGGGUGAUGCUUUUUUUUUCUGUCUGGCAAUACUGAUUUGGGAAAAAGGGGAGCACUUCACGAAAGUGCAUCAAGUUUUGUCAGGAUGCCGUGAGAAACAGCUGGAACCUUUUGUGUCAAAGCUAGAAUGUAGCAUUUUGUUUUUACCAUUCUGUAACGAAGACUGGAAAAUCUUUAUGGAAACAAAGCGGUUUGAUCCUCCUGAAAGGGAAUAUUUCUGAUAUCUCAUUUGGCUGUAAAUGCUGACAUUUCAACUUGUUAGUCAGACUUGGAAAGAAAACAAAUGCCAAAACUCUUGAUGGAAAGAUGAUGAAGCACAACUUUAAUAAACUAUCUU
ensembl:lncRNA